rnacentral:rRNA from 1 species
GCGGUGGUCCCACCUGACCCCAUGCCGAACUCAGAAGUGAAACGCCGUAGCGCCGAUGGUAGUGUGGGGCUUCCCCAUGUGAGAGUAGGG